rnacentral:rRNA from 1 species
CAAUAGCGUAUAUUAAAGUUGUUGCGGUAAAAAAGCUCGUAGUUGGAUUUCUGUUGGGAGCGACCGGUCCAUACCAUGUAUGCGUAUCUGGCUUGCUCUCGGCAUCCUCUCGAUAGACGUUACUGCGCUUGAUUGCGUGGUGCGGAUCUCGGGACUUUUACUUUGAGGAAAUUAGAGUGUUCACGGCAGGCUUUCGCCAGAAUACAUUAGCAUGGAAUAAUACUAUAGGAUCUUGGUUCUAUUUUGUUGGUUUCUAGAAUUGAGAUAAUGAUUAAUAGGGACAAUUGGGGGCAUUCGUAUCAACACGUCAGAGGUGGAAUUCUUGGAUUGUGUUGCGACGAACUACUGCGAAAGCAUUUGCCAAGGAUGUUUUCAUUGA